UGGGGGUGAGGAGAAACAGAAGAUCCCCCCAAGGAGGGGACAUUUCAUCUGAGACCUGGCAGGUGAGCUGCAGGUAACAGGUGAUGGACUGAGGUGGAGAAACAUUCCAGGCGGAGGGAACAGCAUAUGCAAAGGCCCUGAGACACUGGGAGCCUAGUAUUUCCAAGGCCAGAGGAGAGGCCAGUGUGGCUGGGGCCAAGCAGACACAGGUAACCAACACAAUUUCAAGUUCCGGGACAUCGUCUGCAAUCAACAUCAACUACCCCAUCAAGAAAGCAGACCCUGGUGUUGGUGGUGAGUAGCAGAUAAUUUAUGAGCUUGUCAGUGUGUUCCACGGCCCCUGAUCUGUAUCAGCAUGAAAUAAGAAACCAGUCAAGAGGCGUCAGGAAAACACGGCAUGCCCCCGCCCCCUCGCCUUACCAUUUGACGUUGACUCAUUCAUGUAUGAAAUUGAGUCUUUGUGAUGGUGGAGUAUUAAAGAUCCCGUGUAGUCGAAUUAAUAUCAUGGAACCGGAGAGUGGAACCAGGUCAUUAAAUGCUCCGUGGUUCGCCCUCCUUCCAACAGGCAGGAGAAAACAAACAGAAGGCUUAGAUGCAAAUACGAACUCAGGUCCGAGUGUUCAGGAGAACCAGCGUAGGCUGCGAAAGGAGAGCUGGGUGGAGGUCCCAGAUAAUUUGGGUUAAAAAGACUUUCAUUGGGAGAAGCAGUCACCCAGGCACAGGCUGUGGAUCCUGCCGUGGUUUAUCCUCCCUGUCUGUCUGCUUGUGGAUGACCUCAGGGUUCAUGCCAACGUUUAGUGAAACUGUUGAAGCAUCACUGAAAUUCCUUGAGCCAAAGGGAACGUGUUCAGGCCCCAGUCCUGCCCCCCCUGUGAGCUGGACAGACCGUCCUCCCUCUCUGGGCCUCAGUUUCCCCAUCUAUAGAUUCCACACUCCCUUUGACGUUCGUUGGUGUUGCCCAGUGAAGAUAAAGGAGGCGGAGGGGUGGAAGAGAACCUGCUUCUGCUGGUGUCCAAGAGAAAGCUUGAUGUCAGGACAUCCUGAGACGUGUCCUGGGGAGAAGGAAGCCUUCAAGGGACAAAGGAGCUGUGUAGGAGUCACAGCUCUAACGGAACAGCCAACUUUCAACCAACCAAAAAUACUGCAUCCCUCCCUCCCCAGCGGAGUGACCAGGAGGUGAUCGGAACACAGUGGAUCCCGUGGACCCACAGGGAGUCAGUUUCUGCAGGGGGAGAUAGAUGAGGCUGAAAAAAAAAUCUGCUGUGGAUUUUGAAGAAGGCAACGUGGAGGCAGCACCUUCGGGCCCUCACUGAGCCGCAGCCUCCCCCUCCUCCGGCUCCUGGCUCCCAGUGUAGAGGCCUCCGGUCCUGGUCCUUCCACCCAGGACGGUGGACUGGACCUGCAUGUCGAGAUUUGCUCUGCUGGGUGAUGUCUCAAGAAACCCCAGGCCAGGGAGUGCAGCCAGGCCAUUGAGCAAAGUUCUCUGAGAAGAAAUGGAGAUGAAACCUCUGGAUGAGAGGAUGCCACGGAACCUUCCAGACCUGAAAUUCUAGGAGGGGUAAGGGUCUCCCUGAGGACCUGAGGAGAGAGCGGCCGGCAGAGGCUGGCGCUGCACACAUCCAGGGCCACCCCUCACGUCCACCCGGUGGGAACGGGGCCUCUGGACGUGUGCAGAGAACACUCGCACGAUCACACUCCCGGCCUCGGUGUUGUUUUUCAGGGGGCGGGGUGAGAUGCCCCGAAAACUGCUGUUCGGCCUGAAGCCUGCGGGGCCUUAAGGAAGGGGCCGCAGCAGAGAAGAGGGAAAUCCGACAAGUGAUACCGUUUGCCAAGAAACAUCAGCAGUGGGACGUGUGUGUCGGCUGUGUCUACACGAGUCAGACACAGCAAGUGAUUGUUCCCAAUCUAAUCCUAUUAUGGGCAAUUUAAGGGACGGUCUGCUGUGAAACGGAAGGCCCAGCUGGGCACCUGGAGGUGGCGUUUCCAUGAGACCUGCUGUUCUGACAUCUUCCGGCACCGACCACGGCCCUGGGGCCACAGUGGGAACUGAAAGUGGGCAGAGGAUGUGAUUGGAGGCAUCUGUACCCGUUAGUCCCGGCUUCUGGGGGGCCAGGUCACCCUGCAGACAUGUGGCUCUUGAGCCAGCUUUCCUGGUUCCCAGAGGCGAGACACACAGGCUGUGGAGUCAGACCCCAUGGGUCCAGGUCCCAGAUCUGCCGCUUACAGCUACUUUCAGAACUAGCAGCUUUUUAAUUUUCUGAAUGAAAAAUAAUUUUUAUUAUAAAAAUGAUAGAUAUUCGUUGUAAAAAUAAAUGAUCUCUGGAGCACGGCCUUGCAACAUUUCAGUUGGAUCUGGAGUCCUGAGAGCUGCCUUUUCCACACAAAGAUCGUCAUGUGGCCCCCACCUCACCCCCUCUAGAGGAAGCUGAGUCAUUAGUCCGGCAUUCAAGGCCACUGUGGUCCCGCCCAAGUGAUGCGGAGGUGACAGGGGUCG
rnacentral:lncRNA from 1 species